AUUGAACGCUGGCGGCAGGCUUAACACAUGCAAGUCGAGCGGGGUGAUGGUGCUUGCACUAUCACUUAGCGGCGGACGGGUGAGUAAUGCUUAGGAAUCUGCCUAUUAGUGGGGGACAACAUCUCGAAAGGGAUGCUAAUACCGCAUACGUCCUACGGGAGAAAGCAGGGGAUCACUUGUGACCUUGCGCUAAUAGAUGAGCCUAAGUCGGACUAGCUAGUUGGGGGGGUAAAGGCCUACCAAGGCGACGAUCUGUAGCGGGUCUGAGAGGCUGAUCCGCCACACUGGGACUGCGACACGGCCCAGACUCCUACGGGAGGCAGCAGUGGGGAAUAUUGGACAAUGGGGGGAACCCUGAUCCAGCCAUGCCGCGUGUGUGAAGAAGGCCUUAUGGUUGUAAAGCACUUUAAGCGAGGAGGAGGCUCUUUUGGUUAAUACCCAAGAUGAGUGGACGUUACUCGCAGAAUAAGCACCGGCUAACUCUGUGCCAGCCGCCGCCGUAA
rnacentral:rRNA from 1 species